CAAACAUAUAUUUACAUGAACCAACAUAAAUAUCUAUGUAUGUAUAUCAUACAUAUUUUUACAUUGAACAUUUAAAUACAACUCAAAAUUAAUAAUUUUAAAAGAAAAUUUACAUAUUUAUUAUGAACACAGGCUACAUAGUACAUACUACAUGUUACAUAUGUAUAUAAAUACAUACACAAUCAACACGAUAUUAUUUGAUAUAUGAUUAACGCAAAUUUUGUAUCUUAUCAGACAAUAUUUAUGAAUGUAUGAGUGAAAUGAACAAUAGCUAAAUAUAUGUACAUAUAUGCACAUACACAUGUACAUACAUACAUAUGUAUGUUUGUACGGCAUAUGCAUGCAUCUGCAUUUAUUAUGAUUUUAGCUGUGUACAUUCAAGUGGAAAAUUUAUUUCUCGAAAUUAUUUAAAUAUACAUGUUUUUCAUUUAUAAAGAAAACAUAGAUAUCUUUUAUUUAAAAUACAAAAAUGAUUCAUCUUAAAAUUUUUAGUUAAAAAAUAUUGAUAACACAAAACAAUCUGACUUUCCAAAGUGUAUGCAUACGUAAAUACGUACAUAUGUACAUAUAAAUGUAUAUACGUAUGGUAUAUGUACAUAUGUUUAGGUUAGAGGAUAAUAACGAUCGUUUCGCUAAAAAGAGGUCGAUAUGUAUCUACUUUUCAGAUACGUAUGUAUCUAUGUACAUACAUACGUACGAUCGUACGAUCGACAUGAUGUCGAUCUUCAAAUCAAUUUCUAUCGGUAUUGUACAUAAAUCUGUUUGUAUAUAUGUACAUACAUGACCUUAAACACUUUCCUAAAACGUCAGAGAUAUUUAAUGAAUUUUUAAAUUUAUAAUAUAUAUUAGGUUACAUAUUUUAAAACGCAACUAAUUGGUUGGUCACUUCAUCACUUAGACACUUAUGUAUGUAUGUAAAUAUGUAGAGAUUUACAUUAUUUGACUAUAAAAUUUCUUCAUACAUCGUGUACAUGUCGUUUAUAUACAUAUGUAUAUACAUACAAUAGUUAAUGUAUUAAAGAAAACAAAACAUUUUGAAAUGUACAAACAUAUGUACAUUCAUACAUAUGUAUGUAUGUUUACAUAUUUUUUUUCUUCGAAAUUGAUCCUUAUAACCAUUGUUGCUAUUUUAGCUAUUUUAUUUCUAGGUUUAGCUCUUUGUGAAAUGCUAUUAGCUAGAAAUCUAGCUACUGCUGGCACUUUUUAAAUAGUACCGAAACAGCUCUUUUAAGAUGGUUCUUCUAUUUUGAGGUUCACUCAAGAAAAGUGAAAAAAAAACUCUGUUAUGAGAAAGUUUUCUUAUUUUGUAUAAUGUAAAAUAAAACACAAAAGUUUUGGCUGAAGUUUUUGAGUCCAGAGAUACCAGAGGAGUCAACACAUUCGCCCCCUUAGCACCUUUGCACUCAAUAUAAUGAGUCUACCUUGGUCGAACGCAGCUAGUUAAAACAAUGGUCGGCAGGGCCCUAUUCUAGGGGCAUAGGAAAUUUCAUUAAUAAUCGUCAUUAAUAGUAAUACUUUAGAACCAUAUCAUUGUAUUAAGUGCCGGCCACUGAUUUACAGAUAUGGACUCAACAGAAGGGGGACGUGUUGUUUUAAAUACACAUUGCCAACAAAAUAUUUAAAAAUUAUGUCUGAAUCAGAUAAACAUUAAGAUUCGGUCGAGGACACCAUCGAUAUUGAUAAUAUUUCUGUAUUAUUUUAAUAAAAACCAUUUAAAAA